AUUGAACGCUGGCGGCAUGCUUUACACAUGCAAGUCGAACGGCAGCGCGGGCUUCGGCCUGGCGGCGAGUGGCGAACGGGUGAGUAAUGCAUCGGAACGUGCCCAGUAGUGGGGGAUAGCCCGGCGAAAGCCGGAUUAAUACCGCAUACGACCUGAGGGUGAAAGCGGGGGACCGAAAGGCCUCGCGCUAUUGGAGCGGCCGAUGUCGGACUAGCUAGUUGGUGGGGUAAAGGCUUACCAAGGCGACGAUCCGUAGCUGGUCUGAGAGGACGACCAGCCACACUGGGACUGAGACACGGCCCAGACUCCUACGGGAGGCAGCAGUGGGGAAUUUUGGACAAUGGGGGCAACCCUGAUCCAGCCAUGCCGCGUGCGGGAAGAAGGCCUUCGGGUUGUAAACCGCUUUUGUUCGGGAAGAAAUCCUCUGGGCUAAUACCCCGGGGGGAUGACGGUACCGGAAGAAUAAGCACCGGCUAACUACGUG
rnacentral:rRNA from 1 species